rnacentral:rRNA from 1 species
GGGACCUAAGCCGAGGCCGAAAGGCGUAGGCGAUGGACAACAGGUUGAUAUUCCUGUACCACCUCCUCACCAUUUGAGCAAUGGGGGGACGCAGGAGGAUAGGGUAAGCGCGGUAUUGGAUAUCCGCGUCCAAGCAGUUAGGCUGGGAAAUAGGCAAAUCCGUUUCCCAUAAGGCUGAGCUGUGAUGGCGAGCGAAAUAUAGUAGCGAAGUUCCUGAUUCCACACUGCCAAGAAAAGCCUCUAGCGAGGUGAGAGGUGCCCGUACCGCAAACCGACACAGGUAGGCGAGGAGAGAAUCCUAAGGUGAUCGAGAGAACUCUCGUUAAGGAACUCGGCAAAAUGACCCCGUAACUUCGGGAGAAGGGGUGCUCUGUUAGGGUGCAAGCCCGAGAGAGCCGCAGUGAAUAGGCCCAGGCGACUGUUUAGCAAAAACACAGGUCUCUGCGAAGCCGUAAGGCGAAGUAUAGGGGCUGACGCCUGCCCGGUGCCGGAAGGUUAAGAGGAGCGCUUAGCGUAAGCGAAGGUGCGAAUUGAAGCCCCAGUAAACGGCGGCCGUAACAAUAACGGUCCUAAGGUAGCGAAAUUCCUUGUCGGGUAAGUUCCGACCCGCACGAAAGGCGCAACGAUCUGGGCACUGUCUCAACGAGAGACUCGGUGAAAUUAUAGUACCUGUGAAGAUGCAGGUUACCCGCGACAGGACGGAAAGACCCCGUGGAGCUUAACUGCAGCCUGAUAUUGAAUGUUGGUACAGCUUGUACAGGAUAGGUAGGAGCCUUGGAAACCGGAGCGCCAGCUUCGGUGGAGGCAUCGGUGGGAUACUACCCUGGCUGUAUUGACCUUCUAACCCGCCGCCCUUAUCGGGCGGGGAGACAGUGUCAGGUGGGCAGUUUGACUGGGGCGGUCGCCUCCUAAAAGGUAACGGAGGCGCCCAAAGGUUCCCUCAGAAUGGUUGGAAAUCAUUCGCAGAGUGUAAAGGCACAAGGGAGCUUGACUGCGAGACCUACAAGUCGGGCAGGGACGAAAGUCGGGCUUAGUGAUCCGGUGGUUCCGCAUGGAAGGGCCAUCGCUCAACGGAUAAAAGCUACCCCGGGGAUAACAGGCUUAUCUCCCCCAAGAGUCCACAUCGACGGGGAGGUUUGGCACCUCGAUGUCGGCUCAUCGCAUCCUGGGGCUGUAGUCGGUCCCAAGGGUUGGGCUGUUCGCCCAUUAAAGCGGUACGCGAGCUGGGUUCAGAACGUCGUGAGACAGUUCGGUCCCUAUCCGUCGCGGGCGCAGGAAAUUUGAGAGGAGCUGUCCUUAGUACGAGAGGACCGGGAUGGACGCACCGCUGGUGUACCAGUUGUUCUGCCAAGGGCAUCGCUGGGUAGCUAUGUGCGGACGGGAUAAGUGCUGAAAGCAUCUAAGCAUGAAGCCCCCCUCAAGAUGAGAUUUCCCAUUCCGCAAGGAAGUAAGAUCCCCGAAAGAUGAUCAGGUUGAUAGGUCUGAGGUGGAAGUGUGGCGACACAUGGAGCUGACAGAUACUAAUCGAUCGAGGACUUAACC